rnacentral:lncRNA from 10 species
ACAGAUGGGCAAACUGAGGCUCACAGAAGUUCAACAACAUGCCCAAAGACCCAUUUUAUGUUUAAGUUCUGCUGAGUGUGGCUUCACGUCCCUCCUCAGUGAAGCUCAGGGAGAUGCCAAGGGAUCGUGCCACGGGGCCUGCCCUCCCUGACCCAGCCAGCUAGGCCCUGGCCUCAGGAGAGUCAGAGGAGCCCGUGGUCUGAGGAGGAAACACACCUUCUGGGCACACCUGUCUGGAAGAGGCAGGAGGACUCAGGUCACAGUCCCCUGAAACUGUUGCCUCUGUGCUAGAUGCAAAAAGCUCAUCCACCCACCAAGCCCCCUCCCUACAUCCCCCAGACUCAGAGAUGAAGACAUUACCCCACGCUUCCUGACUGCUGACGGGGAAGACAACACUACACUCAAGCUAACGAUGCAAUAUGAGCUGGAAGUGGGGGCAAG